rnacentral:rRNA from 1 species
UACAGAGGUCCCAAGCGUUGUUCGGAUUCAUUGGGCGUAAAGGGUGCGUAGGCGGCGCGGUAAGUCGGGUGUGAAAUCUCGGAGCUUAGCUCCGAACUGCAUUCGAUACUGCCGUGCUUGAGGACUGGAGAGGAGACUGGAAUUUACGGUGUAGCGGUGAAAUGCGUAGAUAUCGUAAGGAAGACCAGUGGCGGAAGGCGGGUCUCUGGACAGUUCCUGACGCUGAGGCACGAAGGCCAGGGGAGCAAACGGG